rnacentral:rRNA from 1 species
GAUGAACGCUGGCGGCGUGCCUAAUACGUGCAAGUCGAGCGAACGGACGAGAAGCUUGCUUCUCUGAUGUUAGCGGCGGACGGGUAAGUAACACGUGGAUAACCUACCUAUAAGACUGGGAUAACUUCGGGAAACCGUAGCUAAUACCGGAUAAUAUUUUGAACCGCAUGGUUCAAAAGUGAAAGACGGUCUUGCUGUCACUUAUAGAUGGAUCCGCGCUGCAUUAGCUAGUUGGUAAGGUAACGGCUUACCAAGGCAACGAUGCAUAGCCGACCUGAGAGGGUGAUCGGCCACACUGGAACUGAGUCACGGUCCAGACUCCUACGGGAGGCAGCAGUAGGGAAUCUUCCGCAAUGGGCGAAAGCCUGACGGAGCAACGCCGCGUGAGUGAUGAAGGUCUUCGGAUCGUAAAACUCUGUUAUUAGGGAAGAACAUAUGUGUAAGUAACUGUGCACAUCUUGACGGUACCUAAUCAGAAAGCCACGGCUAACUACGUG